rnacentral:rRNA from 1 species
UUCCGGUUGAUCCUGCCAGACCCGACUGCUAUCAGAGUGGGACUAAGCCAUGCGAGUCAACGUAGAAAUACGUGGCAAACGGCUCAGUAACACGUAGUCAACAUGCCCAGGGGACGUGGAUAACCUCGGGAAACUGAGGAUAAACCGCGAUAGGCCAUGAUUUCUGGAAUGGUUCAUGGCCGAAAUCUAUAUGGCCCCUGGAUUGGACUGCGGCCGAUCAGGCUGUUGGUGAGGUAAUGGCCCACCAAACCUGUAACCGGUACGGGCUCUGAGAGGAGGAGCCCNGAGAUGGGCACUGA